GGGGAUGAUUGAUUCGACGAAGGAUGUACAUUAAAAACUGCAAGCCGGCGAUGACAAAAGAGCCGCACGCCCUGAGAGCAAUCGAAGGGUAAAACCUUGUUAAAUAUAAUUGCUGAUACAAAAGCAAAACUUCGCGCUGAGCUCGCUCUUAUCAAAGAAGAGCUUGAUGCGAUGGCCCGAAGCUUCGUGGGAGUUAAUCAAUUAGCUCUUACCGCCUAAGGUUAUCUCCUUUUUGUUUUUCUCGGUGAACUAGAGGAGGUACAAACACCAGCCGAGACGUCAGGGAUCAAGGGACCGAUUGAUCUCGGAGUAAAAUUGGUCAACACUUUGUAUAUUUUUUGUCUAUUUUGUAGUAUACAAAGAAGUAAAUAGACUACGCUUGUAGACGUUUCUCGUGUACUUCUUCGGACCCGAGCUCAUUACUCGGCAUCUCCACAC
rnacentral:tmRNA from 1 species